rnacentral:rRNA from 1 species
UACGAAGGGGGCUAGCGUUGCUCGGAAUCACUGGGCGUAAAGCGCACGUAGGCGGAUUGUUAAGUCAGGGGUGAAAUCCUGGAGCUCAACUCCAGAACUGCCUUUGAUACUGGCGAUCUCGAGUCCGGGAGAGGUGAGUGGAACUGCGAGUGUAGAGGUGAAAUUCGUAGAUAUUCGCAAGAACACCAGUGGCGAAGGCGGCUCACUGGCCCGGUACUGACGCUGAGGUGCGGAAAGCCGUGGGG